CCUACGGGAGGCAGCAGUGAGGAAUAUUCCACAAUGGGGGGAACCCUGAUGGAGCGACGCCGCGUGAGUGAAGAAGGGCUUCGGCUCGUAAAGCUCUUUUGCCUUUGACGAAUGGCCUAUUAGAUAGGCAGAGACGGUAAAGGGCGAAUAAGCCACGGCUAACUACGUGCCAGCAGCCGCGGUAAU
rnacentral:rRNA from 1 species